rnacentral:rRNA from 1 species
UAGGGAAUAUUGGGCAAUGGUCGGAAGACUGACCCAGCCAUGCCGCGUGCAGGAAGAAGGCCCUCUGGGUUGUAAACUGCUUUUAUCUGGGAAGAAAAAGGCCAUGCGUGGCAAAUUGCCGGUACCAGAUGAAUAAGCACCGGCUAACUCCGUGCCAGCAGCCGCGGUAAUACGGAGGGUGCAAGCGUUGUCCGGAUUUAUUGGGUUUAAAGGGUGCGUAGGCGGCUGAUUAAGUCAGCGGUGAAAGACUUCGGCUUAACCGGAGCAGUGCCGUUGAUACUGAUUGGCUUGAGUGUUGGAGGGGUACAUGGAAUUGAUGGUGUAGCGGUGAAAUGCAUAGAUACCAUCAGGAACACCGAUAGCGAAGGCAUUGUACUGGCCAACAACUGACGCUGAGGCA